AGUAUUGUUCUAGUUUUUAUUUUGUAACAAGCUCACUAGUUGUGAGGACGUAUUAAUUGUUCAUUGUGGUGUGAAUUUAUUUGAGAAGUGAGUUAUGGCUCGAGAGCUGGAAGUCAGAUAGCCGGUGUGUGGUGCUGUACCCUUAUGUUUCCACUUUUUUUAUAGUUUUAUUCUGUGUUUUAAGUGCUUGGUCUCGGUAAAUGCAAGUGUACAUUAAGGAAGGAUGAGUGGAUUGCUUUGGCAGAGCAUUACGAAAUUACUGUUAGGAAAAGUUGGAGGAAGAUUCGGAUUAAGAACGCUGUGAUUAAAAUGCUGGUAAAUACUAGUGUUAUUAAGGAGGAGGCCUUACAUUUGUGUGAGGAGGAGGGGGCUACCUGUCUCAGUGAAAAUGCAAUGAGAGCUUUGGAGUUAGAGGUUGAGCAGCGGAAGCUGGAAGACAGAAGGAGAGAAGAUUUCAGUUGACCAUGCUUGAAAAGAAGUCUGAAAUGGGCCUUAUUGGAGAGCAGGCAUUUGAUGUGACAAAGUGCUGUAAGUUUGUGCCUGUAUUUGAUUAACUUGAUGCUGAGGAAUACUUCCUUCAGUUUGAGAAUGUUGCCACAAGUUUGUCAUGGCCAAAAGGGUAUUGGCCCAUAAUUGCUCAGACUUCCUUUAAAGGAAAAGGGCUCUCAACCUACCUCUCCUUGAUGACUGACCAGCAGAAAGAUUACAGUAUAGUCAAGGAAUCUAUCCUCCAAGCCUACCAGUUAACUCCAGAAUUUUAUCAGUCUUAAUUUCGUAACUCUGCCAGGACUCCCAAUCAGACUUUCAUUGAGUAUGCACAUUUGCUGAGGAAAUUGCAUAAUAGGUGGAUUGCAUCUCUUGGAGUAACCACAUUUGAUCAGUUACGUGAGCUUAUGGUACUAGAACAGUACUUGAACACCUUGCCAUAUGAUAUGAGUAUAUUUAUAUGAAAAAGAGGUCGAUUCACUUGAUAGAGCAGCUUUCUUAGCUGAAAACUAUUAUCUAAUUCAUAAGGCUAACAAAAAGUUAUCCUGACCAGAACACAACUCAGACAUGUUGGUAAACCUUUGAGUACUGAUUAUGUUGGGGAAAGUGUGAACAGUGCAAGUUUUGACACUAAAAUUUGCAAUUACUGCAAGAAGCCAGGUCAUUUUGUGGGAAGUUGUCCUAAGUUGGAGAAGAAAGAUCAGAGUAGGUCCGAUAUAAAACCUGUUAUUAAUUAUGUCUUUAAACCAGCAGAUGUGAGUGAUCCUGUUUUAACCACGUCUAAGAUCCUGUUUUAACCACGUCUAAUAAGUGUCAACAGCUGUUCCAACCAUUCCGAUUUGAGGGUAGUGUGUCAGCCUCUGAGGCCGGUCCGUCCAUCCUUCUCAGUAUCCUGCGUAUACAGGUGCCUCGCACAGUAUUGUGGUAAAGAGUAUUGUUCCUUUUGUUGAGUAUUAUUUUGUACACUGGGGAGUUUGUUGUGCUGAAAGGUAUUAAUGAAUGUACCACACUACCAUUAUGUGGACUCUACCUAAGGGCUGGCAUAAUUUCUCUGGUUGUAACUGUUGCAGUGCAAGAUUCUUUGCCUGUUGAGGGAGUUACCUUUCUGCUAGGCAACGAUAUUGCUGGUUGUCGUAUAAUUCCGGAUCCUGUAGUCUUUUCUAAUCCUUUAACUUUUGACCCUGCAGUAAAGUUGACAGAACAGAAUCCUGGAUUGUUCCCUUCUUGUAUUGUCACUAGGAGCCAAUCAGUGAACGCUGUCAAGGAUACUGAUGUUGACCUUGAUUUGGAUAAGGUAUUCCCUAAUGAAGCUAUUCAUGAUGAGAUGGUUGAGGAGCCUGUUAGUACUUCCAGUAGUGAGAUAAAGUCUUCGGUAGAGACGGGUGAUGUUCCUGUGACUCGUGAGAUGUUGGUGGAGGCUCAGAGUGCAGAUCCCUCUUUAGGCAAACUGUUGGAUAGGGCAGUCUCGGAGGCUGAGAGUGAAGAUGAGUCGGUCUGUUAUUUUCUUAAAUCAAGUAUUCUUAUGAGAAAAUUUCAUCCUCCAGAAGUCUCCAAAAGUGAGAAUUUGUCAGUUGCGCAGAGAAAAAUGAAGGUUCACCAUGAUGUUUCUGCUGUUGAAAGAGAAUUUAAUGUGGGAGAUAAGGUUUUGUUGUUUUUGCCCAUUAGAAAAUUCCCACUACAGGCAAGAUACCAGGGCCCAUAUGAAGUGAUUGGAAAAGAGGGUAACCUUAAUUGCGUAAUAUCUACUCCAGGGCGUCGUAAAACUAAGUUGUACAUGUGAAGUUGUUAAGAGUUGUACAUGUGAAUUUGUUAAAAAUAUUGUUCAAGAGAUGAUGGCCAGGAAGAGGGUCAUAGUGAAGGUCAAGGACAGGCAUUGUCAGGAUGUUGCGUAUGAUGAACCUAUUAAUUGUGACUUUGAUGUAAAAUGUAAUGUGAAGCUUAAUAAUUCUAAUGUUCUGUCGAAUUUAGAAAGUAAACUGGUCCAUUUGAGUGCAGAACAGAAAUAUGAUAUUAAGGAACUUUUGUGUGAGUUUUGAGAUUUAUGUUCUGAUCCAAGUCAAAGUACUGUUAUGGAGCAUGACAUUGUGUUGAUUGAAAACACAGCCCCAGUUAAACAAGCACCAUACAGGAUGUCACCCCCCCAAAAAAGAUAUACUGAGAAAAGUUCAAUUUCUGUUGAAGCAUGAUUUGGUUGAGAAGAGUAAGUGAGUGGGCUUCUUGCAUAUUGGUUCCUAAAGCAGAUGGGUCCAUGCGAAUGUGUACGGACUAUCGCCAAGUUAAUGCCCGUGGUUUUAUCUUUAGGAGGGAGGUGUGAGGCAAAUAACCAUAAUUAUCUAAUUAGUUUUCACCUGUAUCAGGCUCAUGAUUUGCAGGCCUUUGUACGUGGGCAGUAACCGUAAGACCCUAGGUUGGGAAUGGUUGUUUAUAUUAUAUUAAAUAGUUAAGCAUUCAACCGGUGGUUGACUGCUGCCACGUCAGCCUACGGCUUUCAUCGGUAGUUGGGGUACCGGAGUUAGUUGUUUUGGAAGCGGAGGUGGCAAGGUGUUGGUCUUUCGUGGGUAGCGGCCAUACAUAAGUAUUGUUCUAGCUUUUAUUUUGUAACAUAAGCUCACUAGUUGUGAGGACGUAUUAAUUGUUCAUUGUGGUGUGAAUUUAUUUGAGAAGUGAGUUAUGGCUCGAAAGCUGGAAAUCAGAUAGCCGGUGUGUGGUGCUGUACCCAUGUUUCCACUUUUGUUUUAUAGUUUUAUUCUGUGUUUUAAGUGCUUGGUCUCAAUAAA